rnacentral:rRNA from 1 species
CCACCCUUGAAAGAAAGCGUAACAGCUCACUGGUCUAAUAGCCGUCCUGCGCCGAAGAUGUACCGGGGCUCAAGCCAUACACCGAAGCUGCGGGUGUGCCCUUCCUACGGGAAGGGUACGCAGUAGCGGAGCGUUCCGUAAGCCUGUGAAGGCGUACCUGUGAGGGGCGCUGGAGGUAUCGGAAGUGAGAAUGCUGACAUGAGUAGCGAUAAAGAGUGUGAGAAACACUCUCGCCGAAAGUCCAAGGGUUCCUGCGUAAAGCUAAUCUGCGCAGGGUUAGUCGGCCCCUAAGGCGAGGGCGAAAGCCGUAGUCGAUGGGAAACAGGUUAAUAUUCCUGUGCCUGCUGGGUGUUGACGAAUGCCGAUAGUUGUACGGACUUAUUGGAUUGUCCGUGCAGCGUAGGUGUUCCAGGAAAUAGCCCCAGCGUAUAGACCGUACCCCAAACCGACACAGGUGGGCUGGUAGAGUAUACCAAGGCGCUUGAGAGAACGAUGUUGAAGGAACUCGGCAAAAUCCCCCCGUAACUUCGGGAGAAGGGGGCCCUCACAGUGGGCAACCAUUGUGGGGGGGCACAGACCAGGGGGUGGCGACUGUUUA